rnacentral:lncRNA from 1 species
CUGCCCACCUCGACCUCCCAAAGUGCUGGGAUUACAGAACCACAGCAUCCCCAAAGAUCUGACCCAAGGACACUGAUGAAAAGUUCAAAGGCAGAUUGUGGGAGCCCUCUCAAUUCUGUGCAGUCACGUACGUAAGCUAAGGGCUGGGAGUGUUUCUUAACUUCAGACGGGGUUCCAAGAAAGGCCUGUUGGGACCCAAGUCCUUUCUCCUCAGUCCUUCAAUUUGUCCUAAGGCAGUGGAAAGGGUUGCAUAUGUACUUGAAGACAUUUCCAUAUUGCUUACAUUCAAGAAGCUGCUCUUAAAUGUGUGCAUGGUUUCAUGGUCUCAAAAUGAACUAGGAUGCACAAGAAACUCAGAAAUGACAGAAAAGUUAAAUGAAUAUGAAACUGAAGAGUUUAGAUUCCACGGAUAUUUAAAAACCAGUCAACUUGAAAUGGAUAUUCAGAUUAAAAAGAUAAAACAUAAGACUGAUAAUCUUAUAGCAGAACUGGAAGGUGCAUCUUCAAAAUGUCUGUAUCUGGCUGAAAACAAUCAAGUUCUUCAACAGGAAUUAUUAUCUAUGAAAACGAUACAACAGAAAUGUAAAGAAUUUGAGAAGAAUAAAAAGGUGUUGGAACAAGAAGUGAGAGGAGUUAGCUAGCUUGCCUCAGGUAAACAGCAAGGGAAGGGUUUUUGGAGAGCCCCCGACCCACUGGUUAGUGCCUUAUUCCCACAUAUAACAAGGUCUCUGAUUGGAUUAAAAAAUAAUAAUAAUUAGCACAGGGAGUCAUGCCUAGAGAUAUGCCCACAGCUGCACAGAUAGAACUUUUAGCCCACUCAGAUAAGGAAACUUGCACAAACCUUUAGCCCACUUAAAUAAAGGAACAAGGCCCAACAUAGAAAUGCCUUAGUCCUUUGUAUAAUUAGUGGGCUUCCAGGAAAUAGCCUCUACUCCUUUUAUGGGCAUAUACCUGGUGGGCUCUGGUGGGUUCUGGUGGGCACUUCCUUUUUUUAAACAUUCUUUAGCCUCUAUGAAUCAUCACUUCAGCCUCUGAUUGGUCCCAGGCCAAGGUCCUGGGCCAGGCUGAAUCAUGCUUUGCCAAGACAGCCUUCAGACUAGUCAGCACAUUUCUUCCCCUUUCCAGUCUAUAAAAAUCCCAGACCCAGCCUCAUAGUGGGCAACCCAUUUGGGCUCCACUCUCUGCUGCACAGAGCUUUCUUUUUUUGCUUAUUAAACUUUUGCUCCAAUCUCACCCUUGUGUCUGCAUUCCUUAAUCUUCUUGGAAGUAAGACAAAUAACUCCACAUAGUACCUCAGAAAACAAAAAACUGCUACACUGUGGUGCAUUGGCAAGCCUGUAACAGAAGUAGUAAAUCUAAAAAGUCAUAUGGAAAUGAACGUGCUAUAGAAUAUGUAGAGAAGUUUAAAUGAGAGAUUGAAGAAAGAGCAAGACAAGAAAGAGAAAAAUUAGAAGUCCAUCUACAGAACGAAUGAGAUACCAGCAGCAGUGUGCACCAAGCUUCUACAGACAAAGUGCGUCAAAUGUUUACUCUCCAUUUUUACUACAAGGCCAGUCCAAGAGUUACCUUGUGUUGAAAAUCUUAAUAGUGUAGGUCUCAACAGAGGACAUAUUAUGAGAGAAAACUUAAGGAUCCCUACCUCAUACCCAGAGACCUCAAAUAGCAGCAUGAACUACUCAACCAAGACUCAGCCAGAUUGGAUAGAAAAAAAUAACUACAGAAGUAAAAAAUGCUGUUGCUGAAUUGGAAAUUAGCUCUCAUAUGGUUUCUUCUGUAGAAUCCACUGAAGAAUGAGUCACAUCUAAAUCAAUAUGUCCUUUGGAAAGCAUAAUGAGAAUAUGUUCCAGUUUUAAAGAAAAAUGUUAUAAUUUAUAAGAUUGUAAAAUUUUAUUACUGGGCUGUUUACAUGAUACUUUCUUUCUUAUUAAAUAUAACCUGACAAUCUUUA